rnacentral:rRNA from 1 species
AUUGAACGCUGGCGGCAGGCCUAACACAUGCAAGUCGAACGAGUGGCGGACGGGUGAGUAAUGUCUGGGAAACUGCCCGAUGGAGGGGGAUAACUACUGGAAACGGUAGCUAAUACCGCAUACCAUCGGAUGUGCCUAGUUGGGAUUAGCUAGUAGGUGGGGUAACGGCUCACCUAGGCGACGAGCCCUAGCUGGUCUGAGAGGAUGACCGGCCACCCUGGAACUGAGACACGGUCUAGACUCCUACGGGAGGCAGCAGUGGGGAAUAUUGCACAAUGGGCUCAAGCCUGAGGCAGCCAUGCCGCGUGUAUGAAGCAGGCCUUCGGGUUGUAAAGUACUUUCAGCGAGGAGGCGUUACUCGCAGAAGAAGCACCGGCUAACUCCGUGCCAGCAGCCGCGGUAAUUC